rnacentral:tRNA from 1 species
GGAGGGAUGGGUGAGUGGCUGAAACCACCAGUUUGCUAAACUGACGUACCGGUAACGGUACCGCGGGUUCGAAUCCCGCUCCCUCCG